rnacentral:rRNA from 1 species
CAGCUGCAUUGCGCACGCUUCUAACAAUCUAAAUCCAAACUCUUGUGCACCUUUGAAAGACGGGGGGAAGGUUUUCCCCCUUCUUAUUUACCUACGCCGUUUCUAUUAUGUUGAAUGUGAUCUUGUGCCUUUUCCUUUGAGGAGGGCCUAACCUAAUGUUAAUACAACUUUUAACAACGGAUUUCUUGGCUCUCGCAUCGAUGAAGAACGCAUCCUAAAUGCGAUAAGUGAUGUGAAUUGCAUAAUUCAGGGAAUCAUCGAAUCUUUGAACUCACCUCGCGCUCCCCGGUAUUCCAGGGAGCACACCUGCUCGAGUGUGGUGAAAAUCUCAAGCUUAUAGAUGGUUUUGUCCUCUUAGGUUUGGUUAUUGGGYUUUGCCGUGCCCCUCUUUAUUGAGGGAACUGUUGGCCUUAAAAUCUUUAACUGACUCUUCUGUAGGAUUGUCUCCACUCAGCGUGAUAAUAAUUCUGACCGCCGA